GUAGGGUGCGAGCGUUAAUCGGAAUUACUGGGCGUAAAGCGUGCGCAGGCGGUUUUGUAAGACAGGCGUGAAAUCCCCCGGCUUAACCUGGGAAUUGCGCUUGUGACUGCAAGGCUAGAGUGCGUCAGAGGGGGGUAGAAUUCCACGUGUAGCAGUGAAAUGCGUAGAGAUGUGGAGGAAUACCGAUGGCGAAGGCAGCCCCCUGGGACGUGACUGACGCUCAUGCACGAAAGCGUGGGGAGCAAA
rnacentral:rRNA from 1 species